rnacentral:lncRNA from 1 species
CGUCUUUCUAAAGUUCAUAGUCCUACCUCCUCGCCCCUAACAGCCAGCUUCACAAAUACAGUGCAUCCUGAGUGUGUAUUCCGCAUCUUCAGCGUAAGUAGAAUAUUUUUAGGAAAUCAAACACGUAGCUUGUUUCCUUUGUAAAAAUGACCAGAAUAAAGAGCUCUCUACCUAAUCAGUCCCCUGGCUCCCAAGGAAUGUUAGAACCAAACUUGUGAAAAAUGAACUAAAAUGAGGGACCAUCUGUAGGCUUUUGUGUUGAGGUCUUCUGUUGGCCGCCUGACCGCUCCACUCCAUCGGGUGAGAUAAUCAAACGUAUUGGCUCUUAUUUCAAUUUCCUUAGCUAGUAUUUGGAAAAUAAGCAGCUGAAGAAAAUGUAAAUAUCCUUAUGUGUACUGCUCUUUUGGCUGCAAGUAAUAGAAAACCUACCAGUUGCAUAAACCCUAGGGUAGUGUUGGCUGCAGUUAUCUAAAGCUGCAUAAAAGAUGUAUGCUUUUGUUUUUGUUUUUUUCCACUCAAGGUUAGCAUCUGUAAUUCUUCCUCCACAGUUCUGCUUGGCAUUUUCACAUAACUGUUGAAGACUGAAAGUUCUGAAAACGUGGAGCCACCAGCCGACUUCCCUUUCCGUCUCAUUAGUCGGGGUGGAGGCACAAGGCCAGCUGAGCUACGAGGGAAACAAGGAAAGAGAGAACGACCCACGACACCAGGCGCUGCAGGUCUUCGCACUCUCAGCAGUUCUGACUCUCGCUGCCUGAAACCGGUACAGAAAGAGGAUGUAACAACGUUGAACUUUUUAUGUGAUUUUUUUUGCCUUUGACACAGUUAUUAGAGGUUUUUUUUUUUUUUUUUUUUAAAGCAACAGCGCCCUACGAGGACACCAGGUUUCUAAAUGAUUCAUCUUCUCACAGACCUUGAUAUUCAAUCCAGGUGUAGGAAUAACAGGAUAGCCCUUGGGUUCUAUCCUCAGGGCUUGGAAAGGCUUCAGUGAAAUUCUAUAGCAAAAGGCCCCUGUGCUUACCCUGACUUUCUCUUUGUUCUACUCACUUUUUAUCUCUGAAAAGCAAAGGGAUUUCCUUGGGGGAUUAAGCAGAGGAAACAGCCAAAGGUAGCUAUCG